CAGUAGCCGCGGGAAUACAGAGGAUGCAAGCGUUAUCCGGAAUGAUUGGGCGUAAAGCGUCUGUAGGUGGCUUUUCAAGUCCGCCGUCAAAUCCCAGGGCUCAACCCUGGACAGGCGGUGGAAACUACCAAGCUAGAGUACGGUAGGGGCAGAGGGAAUUUCCGGUGGAGCGGUGAAAUGCGUUGAGAUCGGAAAGAACACAAACGGCGAAAGCACUCUGCUGGGCCGACACUGACACUGAGAGACGAAAGCUAGGGGAGCAAAUGGGAUUAGAUACCCCAGUAGUCCCUGUCUCUUAUAA
rnacentral:rRNA from 1 species